UACGAAGGGGGCGAGCGUUGUUCGGAUUUACUGGGCGUAAAGGGCGCGUAGGCGGCCGAUCAAGUCAGGCGUGAAAGCCCCGGGCUCAACCUGGGAAUGGCGCUUGGGACUGGUUGGCUUGAGUUCGGGAGAGGAGAGUGGAAUUCCCAGUGUAGAGGUGAAAUUCGUAGAUAUUGGGAAGAACACCGGUGGCGAAGGCGGCUCUCUGGACCGGUACUGACGCUGAGACGCGAAAGCCAGGGGAGCAAACGGG
rnacentral:rRNA from 1 species